GACGAACCGAGCGAACGUUAUUCGGAAUUACUGGGCGUAAAGGGCGCGUAGGCGGUACUUCAAGUCAGGCGUGAAAGCCCCGGGCUCAACCUGGGAACCGCGCUUGAGACUGGAGAACUAGAGUUCGGGAGAGGAUGGUGGAAUUCCCAGUGUAGAGGUGAAAUUCGUAGAUAUUGGGAAGAACACCGAUGGCGAAGGCAGCCAUCUGGACCGACACUGACGCUGAGGCGCGAAAGCGUGGGGAGCAAACAGG
rnacentral:rRNA from 1 species